rnacentral:rRNA from 1 species
AUUGAACGCUGGCGGCAGGCCUAACACAUGCAAGUCGAACGAGUGGCGGACGGGUGAGUAAUGUCUGGGAAACUGCCCGAUGGAGGGGGAUCACUACUGGAAACGGUAGCUAAUACCGCAUACCAUCGGAUGUGCCCAGAUGGGAUUAGCUAGUAGGUGGGGUAACGGCUCACCUAGGCGACGAUCCCUAGCUGGUCUGCGAGUAUGACCCGCCACAGGGGAACUUAGACACGGUUCAGACUCCUACGGGAGGCAGCAGUGGGGAAGAGUGCACAAGGGGCGCAAGCCUGAUGCAGCCAUGCCGCGUGUAUGAAGAAGGCCGUCGGGUUGUAAAGUACUUUCAGCGAGGAGGCGUUACUCGCAGAAGGAGCACCGGCUAACUCCGGGCCAGCAGCCGCGGUAAUAC